GGCUUUUGAGAUUCCACAAUGCUUGGGAGAAAAUGUGGAUGUCUCCAGGGAGGCCAUACCUAAUGAGGAGCUCCCAACAAAUGGCAACUGAUGUUACCUACAACCGAAUACGUCAAGAAGGAAACACACUCGCUUCAGCCUGCACCAACCAAAAUGACUGCUCAAAGGCCAUUCAGCCCCUUUAUCACUGUGGCUCAACUUUGAUUUUCUUCCCAGUUCAUCCAUGAUUCAGACUUCUUCUGUUUCAGGAGCUUUGCCCAUGCGUUCUGCCACCUUCUGCCAGGAAUUACACCUGUCCCAUCCCGUCGUCUCCUGAAUGUCCA
rnacentral:lncRNA from 1 species